GCUUCUGAGCUCAGAGCAGAAUGAGCCAGGUGUUGUGGUAACAGACUUCCCCUGUGGCCCACUGAUGAAGAACAUCUGGAGCACUUCUGUUCCGCCACUUCUUUCCUGUCCUCAAUAUGACCAGGCGAUGUAGCUAACAGUGCGAUGCGUGUCGACACAUGGCUCCAAGGUCCCUAGAUAGAGCAUGAGAUGUUCAGAUUUUCUUACCUGACAGGGCAGCCCCAUUGACAUGCUGUGAACUCUUUCCAUAUGUGUGGCUGACGUUGGGUCCAAGGGUGCCAGGCCCUGUCAGAGAGACUCCAAACAUACAUUCCUGCAAUCCCGUCUGAGUACAUAGAUCCUAAAUCAUCUGGAGACAUUCACUGGACCCCACUGGCAGAACACUCUGGCCACGAAAGAGUUAAAUAUGCUGGAACUUUGCCCUUCUGGCCAAUUGAAUGACAAGCACAGCGAUCCAAAACACCCUCUGCAAGACAUAAAACAAUAUACAGAAAUGCACAAUACUGAGAUUUAAUUUUCGCACCACCAUCCAUUUAUAUAUUACAUGAAACGAAGCUCAAAUUAAUUUGCACCGAGGCUCUAAAGUAACAAUGUAAUCUCAGUGUUAUAGCACAGUUGCAAAUGGAUUUCUGUCUCUUAUAAUUUUAUAAGAGGCACUCUAGGGGUCACCUUAAAAGAUGUCGCUAUUUUUUAAAAGCACAAACUAUCCCGUGGCCUGUCAGCAAAAGCGAAUCUCUGCAAAGCAAUCUGUUUUAUGCCAUCGAUUUGUCUAGAGUUGUGCCUUGUCACAUGGUUUGCAAGUUAGGUUUGCUGGUAUUGGCAGAGGUGACUAAUAUUAUACCCAGAUGUCUAUAAUAAAGUGUGGAGUAUCUGCUUACUGGUGCGCAAUCUGGUCCUUACAGCUUCCUGACCAGUGCAGAAUGACUUGUACCCUGCUAAAUGUUAAGGGAACAUUACAUUACAUGGCACAGAAAGAGUGACGGAAAGAGGGGCUCAGCAGAAUUUGAUGACACUUCUAUUAGCGUCUUCCUACUGAAGAACCAGGAACUAAAUUCCUCGGAUCUAAAAUACUAGAUUGAAUUCUGGAAUUUAGAACUUUUUUUUUGUUUUAUCAGAAAAGUUGAUAAAAAGUUGCAAACCUUUUGAUUACUUUUUGGACGCAGACACUUUUUUUCUAUUAGAAAAAGCGUUCUGUUUUAAAAGGGGGCUUUUCAGACACUUGUCAAGGAGCACCUGUCAUACCAUCAGUCACUUCACAGCUCUUCCCUACAGCUAUGAUGUGUUCCCUCUUACACUCAAAAUCCACUCAGGAUUUCCAGACAUUUUCAUGUGCCACAUGAGCCCAUCCAAAUAUCUUCUGGGUUAGAUCUCAGCACCUAAUUUUAGGUGAUGUAUCAAGACAUUCUGGCGUGAUUUUGACUUUUGCCAUUUUUUUUUUUUUUUUUACACCGCAAAGUACCGCGUUUCACAGAGGCUGUCCUUGGGUGGUGUUUAGUUUUUAAAUUAACCACAGAGGCUCGGUGAAGGUCACUCAGAAUACAUUCUGACAUGAUUUAAUUAAACAGCGUCUUCAUGACAGCUGCCGUUGAGAAUACUGCCAGAAGACACUGCUUUUUUCUUGCCCAAAAAGACCAAGUGCGUAGCAAAUUUUGCAAUAUAAGCGCUCAAUUUUUGAAUUUUGCAUAUUUGUGUUAAUGCUAAAAGUUGUGGUGAAGGUAGCUGAUUAAACGGGGUUACCUUUGUGGCUUUUUGUGUCUUCAGUGAGUAAAGAGGUUUGCCUAAAAAUAGAAAAAACACCAAAUUUAGAAGAAAAUCUGUGAAAAAUAGUAAAAUUAUCUAUCUAUGCUGCAGGAAUUUUUACUCAACAAGAAAUCUUAUAAGAUAUCAAAUAAAAAAAA